UUUUACCCCAGGAUUCCAGCUAAACAUGGAAAGGACUGAACCAUGGGUUGGACAUGGGCCAUGGCUCAAAAGAACAGUACAGCCUGAGAAAGGAUAAGUAAAGAAGGGAAGAAACAGAGAGGGGUUUGAAGCAGCAAUGCCAGCGAAAUGGACACGCAAACAGCACACAAGGGGAAACUGUGGUCACCAGAGGAACCUGUGCUGAUGGUGUGGACACAAGCAGAUAGACAAAAGCCUGUGCUCUCUCACCCAGCUCCUCCCCUAAGCCAUGCAGCAGGAAUCACAGGCAAGAGCAGCCACUAGAAAGAUGGUAGGAAGAUAGAGCCAGCAAGCUUCUUCCAGGAUCACUGCAUGAAAGGAGACCUGAAGGAUGUUCCAUGCUUACUUUUGUAAUCAAGGUUUUUGUUCUGAAGUUUGGGAUUUCAUUCCAACUCACAGGCCCCAAAUGUAGUAAUUAUGAAGAGCACCCAAUGUUUUACAUAAGUUCUUAAAAAAACUAUUCCUGUGACAAGUAGUCUUCCUGACCUCUCUGACUACCCCCAAUUGCCUUCAUAAUUAAUACAGAAUUUUAAAAGUCAUUCAGUCAGACAGCAAAUUUUACACUGCUGGAAGUCUUGAGGGUAAGUGUUCAAGAUACCAAAGAAAGGAAGCUCUGACUCAGCCAGGAUGUUUAAUGAUCAAAGAAGAAAGAGCACCUAACACAACACAGCUUCUGCAGUUCAAAACACAGUGAAAGUUCUUCUUGAGGUGAUGUUGUUUCUAUGCAACAGACUCAACUCAUAAGUACAUCAGAAGAACCAAUAGUGGCCAUUUGUCCUCAUAAACACAGAUCUGUGAGAUGGCACAAAGGUACUUCACCACUUGCCAACCUCUAUUUCUCCCCACACGACUGCAAAACAAAAACCAAACCAUGAUGCGCUAUCCCCGUCUCUUCUUGGAAUGGAGUCCCUCUAUGACACAUUCUCCUGUGUGAUUUUAAAUAAGCAAACAAAAAAGCUUCAUAGAUUGUUUUUUUAACUUCUCUUAUGUUCAAGCUGCACUUGGUUCCUGCAAAGGCUGGAGAGAUCUGGUCUGUGAAUCACUAAUGUCAAUAACUGCAGGGUUGAAAAAAAUUCCUGAGCCAGACAACAAGGUGUCCUCCAUUUGCCAGCUAUGAAACUGAAUUAGAAGACAAACAACGUCACUAGUUUCGGGCUGUCAUGUUUUCUAUCUCAGCUUCAUGAUCCUGACAUCAAGCAUCUUCACAUCUCUGACACCUCCUUGAUCCCAGCUUCAGCACAAUCAAGAUCUACAUGUCUUGAAGCCUGCAUGUUCCUUUUUUUUGUCAUCCCAAUGACUAACUGGAGAGCAGAGGAUUUAGCGAAGUACUUGGCUAUAAACAGCAGCAAAACACAUCAAAUGGUACUAAGAGAAACUAUUUACAUCUAAUUUGAGCAACCCAAUGCAUCACAGCUUGUCUCUGGCUCCCAAAGGUUGCUUGAAGGCUUAUGAGAACACAAAACAUAUGGAGGCUCAAAACUUCACACAGAAGCCUAUCCAGCUGUACUAUUUACAUAAACAGACCCCAGGUCACCUCCUAUUUGCAUUGAUGACCUCGGGUAGGGGUGCAACAACUAAAAUGGUGACAGAACUGCCCGGGCAAGUAACCUGAAGGAAGGGUGCAUAACUCCUCUCUCAUAGCUUGCUGAAAGCUGGAGGGCUCUCACCUGCUGCUCACUCUACUGCUUUACACUGGUUUAAUAAACCAAUAAA